rnacentral:misc_RNA from 1 species
UUCGAGCGUCAUUACAACCCUCACGCCUGGCGUGGUGUUGGGCUCGCCCUGUAGGGCCUGCCUCAAAGUCAGUGGCGGCACCGCCUGGGCCCUAAGCGUAGUAAUACUCGUCGCUUCUGGGUUCUCAGGAGGCAGCCUGCCAGCAACCCCCCAUUUUCUAGGUUGACCUCGGAUCAGGUAGGGAUACCCGCUGAACUUAA